AGAGUUUGAUCAUGGCUCAGAUUGAACGCUGGCGGCAGGCCUAACACAUGCAAGUCGAGCGGUAGCACAGAGAGCUUGCUCUCGGGUGACGAGCGGCGGACGGGUGAGUAAUGUCUGGGAAACUGCCUGAUGGAGGGGGAUAACUACUGGAAACGGUAGCUAAUACCGCAUAAUGUCGCAAGACCAAAGUGGGGGACCUUCGGGCCUCAUGCCAUCAGAUGUGCCCAGAUGGGAUUAGCUAGUAGGUGGGGUAACGGCUCACCUAGGCGACGAUCCCUAGCUGGUCUGAGAGGAUGACCAGCCACACUGGAACUGAGACACGGUCCAGACUCCUACGGGAGGCAGCAGUGGGGAAUAUUGCACAAUGGGCGCAAGCCUGAUGCAGCCAUGCCGCGUGUGUGAAGAAGGCCUUCGGGUUGUAAAGCACUUUCAGCGGGGAGGAAGGCGAUAAGGUUAAUAACCUUGUUGAUUGACGUUACCCGCAGAAGAAGCACCGGCUAACUCCGUGCCAGCAGCCGCGGUAAUACGGAGGGUGCAAGCGUUAAUCGGAAUUACUGGGCGUAAAGCGCACGCAGGCGGUCUGUCAAGUCGGAUGUGAAAUCCCCGGGCUCAACCUGGGAACUGCAUUCGAAACUGGCAGGCUAGAGUCUUGUAGAGGGGGGUAGAAUUCCAGGUGUAGCGGUGAAAUGCGUAGAGAUCUGGAGGAAUACCGGUGGCGAAGGCGGCCCCCUGGACAAAGACUGACGCUCAGGUGCGAAAGCGUGGGGAGCAAACAGGAUUAGAUACCCUGGUAGUCCACGCCGUAAACGAUGUCGAUUUGGAGGUUGUGCCCUUGAGGCGUGGCUUCCGGAGCUAACGCGUUAAAUCGACCGCCUGGGGAGUACGGCCGCAAGGUUAAAACUCAAAUGAAUUGACGGGGGCCCGCACAAGCGGUGGAGCAUGUGGUUUAAUUCGAUGCAACGCGAAGAACCUUACCUGGUCUUGACAUCCACAGAACUUAGCAGAGAUGCUUUGGUGCCUUCGGGAACUGUGAGACAGGUGCUGCAUGGCUGUCGUCAGCUCGUGUUGUGAAAUGUUGGGUUAAGUCCCGCAACGAGCGCAACCCUUAUCCUUUGUUGCCAGCGGUCCGGCCGGGAACUCAAAGGAGACUGCCAGUGAUAAACUGGAGGAAGGUGGGGAUGACGUCAAGUCAUCAUGGCCCUUACGACCAGGGCUACACACGUGCUACAAUGGCAUAUACAAAGAGAAGCGACCUCGCGAGAGCAAGCGGACCUCAUAAAGUAUGUCGUAGUCCGGAUUGGAGUCUGCAACUCGACUCCAUGAAGUCGGAAUCGCUAGUAAUCGUAGAUCAGAAUGCUACGGUGAAUACGUUCCCGGGCCUUGUACACACCGCCCGUCACACCAUGGGAGUGGGUUGCAAAAGAAGUAGGUAGCUUAACCUUCGGGAGGGCGCUUACCACUUUGUGAUUCAUGACUGGGGUGAAGUCGUAACAAGGUAACCGUAGGGGAACCUGCGGUUGGAUCACCU
rnacentral:rRNA from 1 species